rnacentral:misc_RNA from 1 species
GAUGAAGAACGUAGCGAAAUGCGAUAAGUAAUGUGAAUUGCAGAAUUCAGUGAAUCAUCGAAUCUUUGAACGCACCUUGCGCCCUUUGGACAUUCCGAAGGGCAUGCCUGUUUGAGUAUCAUGAACACCUCAACUCUCACGGCUUGUCCGUGAUGAGCUUGGACUUUGGGGGUCUUGCCGGCCUGUGGUCGGCUCCUCUCAAAUGGAUCAGCUUGCCAGUGUUUGGUGGCAUCACAGGUGUGAUAACUAUCUGCGCUUGUGGUUUUCCAUCAGAUAACCUUCAGUGAUAUGGAGGUUCGCGGGAGCUCACAAAUGUCUCUCCUUAGUGAGGACAGCUCUUUGAACGUUUGAUCUCAAAUCAGGUAGGACUACCCGCUGAACUUAAGCAUAUCAAUAAGCGGAGGA